GCCUGCCCGCCCGCCCGCGGCGCCGGUGGAUUGUGGGAUUUCGACGUCGGGGGUGCGAAGGUCGCCAGUGGAAAAAAAUUAAAAAUAAAAGUCCCCGAUGAAGUCGCGUCUUCCGGGGGAGCGGAGCUCGUUGAUACUUUCCACGUUUUGUCGUGAUACGUGUGAUUAUUAUAAAAGGCUUGUCCUCCUUUCACUCGAGUUUCAAUCGUAUUGCUAAAAUAUUUAAUGACGCAUUUUACCGUCUGAAAGGCUGCAGCUUCCACCAUCCAGACAAACGAAAUGCGCAGCACAAAUAAAACAAACGCCGUCAAGUAAUCGUCAGGUGUCAAAGAGACGCGGAAAUCACCCGAAGGGCUCGGAGGACGUGACCGUUCGGCCUUAAAUAAAACAGAAUAGCCGUUCAAAUAAAAACGUCGGUAAUUAUUAUGGGACGAGUUUUGAAACGAAUCUGACCGCAUCUGGCUGCAUGAAAAAAAAAAAAACAAACUAACGGUUCUACAGCCUGCCAUGGAGGCCGGUGGGCUUCUACCAACGUCAUGGUGGGCAAAGGAAGGCGCUGAAAUGUGAAAUGAUGAAAUUAAUAAAGAGCAAGUGUGAAUGGACUUUUUUAAUAAAAAGAAAACGGAGCUUCCAGACAUGUUUACAUUUCACGUUUCUAGUUUAGUUUUGAAAAGAUACACGCGAAUUCUUAUUGUUUAUUUGCUGAUUCGAUUUUUAUUCGUUUCACUUUUAAUGCAAACGGAACUUAUUUUAGAUGCAUUGACAACCCCUCUGCUCUCCUUCACACGGCGCUUACGGUGCUAGUCACGGUCUCACUUAUAUUACACACAUUAAGUUAAAAACGAAUUUGGAAAUCUACAGGAGGAUGCGAGGCCAGAGGACUGAGGAAAAAAAGAAAGAAAAAAUUAAAGAAAAGAAAAACUGACAUUGAGAGAAAAAUAAUAAAUAUAAAAACGACCACUUCGCGCGUAUAUGACGUCUGUUAACACGUGAUAUCAGCUACGCUAGAGUUGUGAUGGGCGCUAAAUAACAGAAACGUCAAAAAUAAACUCAAAAAGCAGCAACCUGCCUGGCACCUCCUGUAUGUGCGCAGAAAAAUCCAUUGUGCUUAAAGCGCAAGGCCAUCUGGGUAGGCUGCCGCCACCUCCUUCGGAUUUGAAUUUUGAAUUUCCAGUACAUGUCGGCUCAGUAGCUUUCGAUUACGAACAAAAUCAGGGCUCGGGACCCGGUGUGCCGCGAGUAGUCUUAGAGAUGACGAACAGCCACAUAAUCAGAGCACAGAACAAUGCAAUUGAAGUACGGCGAGAGGUGGCCAUUCGUUACCUGGUUGUCUGCCUUGGAGAAAAGGAGCAGGACCUCUUCAAGGAGUUUAAUAUUGGCACUUUGGACCCCAACAAACAACAAAAGCGAGUUACAUUUGUCUCCAUAGCUACUGUGUGAUGGCAAUGCUGCUCACUGCUCAUAUUAUGGAAGAGUUUGAAGCAAACCUUGACAGCCAAGUAUUGAACAUCACCAUCAUCAAAGACCAGGAUCUGAACACUGGAACCGUUGUGAUCGAGGGAGACGAAAUCCUGGAUGGUAUUGACGUCCCAAGGUGCUGUGCUGUGCUCUCAAUCUGAGCUUCUCAAGGAUCUCAAAUGUUUCUUUGAACGAGAUGCACUAAAAACAAGUGGAAAAGUAAUGAAUCUCGAGCACAGCAUUUUCUAAGAAGACUUUUCUUUCAAACCACUGCCAAAUCUUUUUAACCCGUGUUAUUAUUUAAUCCAUAAUCAGCUGUUUCAAUGGUCAACAUUUUCAGGUUUUGUUUUAAAUUUGUGUUGAUUAUGGCUUUGUAAGACUGUGUUCAGAGAAUGCUGCUCUGUUGUCCAAGAAUAUUCUUAGAUCAGAGUGUUGUGUGUCUGUACCUCAGGAUCUUUGGAAGCACUUGGUAUUUUGGUACAUUUGUGAAUUUCCCCUUGGGAUUAAUAAAGUAUCUAUCUAUCUAUUAUAUAGUGCCUUUCACUCUAUCUAUCUA